GGCGGGAGACGGUCUUUCAGUUUCGGCUGGACGUCACACAGGUGCUGCAUGGCUGUCGUCAGCUCGUGUCGUGAGAUGUUGGGUUAAGUCCCGCAACGAGCGCAACCCUCGCCCUUAGUUGCCAGCAUUCAGUUGGGCACUCUAGGGGAACCGCCGGUGAUAAGCCGGAGGAAGGUGGGGAUGACGUCAAGUCCUCAUGGCCCUUACGGGAUGGGCUACACACGUGCUACAAUGGUGGUGACAGAGGGUAAUCCCUAAAAGCCAUCUCAGUUCGGAUCGGGGUCUGCAACUCGACCCCGUGAAGUUGGAAUCGCUAGUAAUCGCGUAACAGCAUGACGCGGUGAAUACGUUCCCGGGCCUUGUACACACCGCCCGUCACACCAUGGGAAUUGGAUCUACCCGAAGGUGGUGCGCCAACCGCGCAAGCGGAGGCAGCCAACCACGGUAGGUUCAGUGACUGGGGUGAAGUCGUAACAAGGUAGCCGU
rnacentral:rRNA from 1 species